AUUUCAUUUUCUAACUAUAGAUAAUUGAUGAAUUAAUUUAAUUAAUUAAAAUUUUUAUUGAAUUUUUUUAGUUUGAUUUAAGGAUUAAAUUGAAAUUUUUUUUGUUAUAAUGACUUUAAAGUGAUUGAGGGAUUUUAAAAAUUUUAAAAGAUUAAUUAAUUUUUUUUACCUUUUGCAUCAGGGAUUAUUAAGUUUAAUAAAUUAUUUAUUUAUAUUCCCGAAGAUAAAAGAUCUAUGUUAUUAUGUAAGUUAGUGUUGCAUAAUUAUUUAAAAUAGUAAUAUAGGGGUCAAAUUCUAUUCAAUUUUAUUGAUAUCUGGUUUCUAUCGAAUUAAAUUCAAUUUAUUAUGAGUUUUAAGAUAUGUUUAUUUAAUAUAUAUAUUUUUAUCUCAUUGAUAUAGCUUAAGGUAUAAACUUUAGGUUUUUUUAAAAAUUAAUAAAAAUGAAAAUAUUAAGGCUUAUUAAUAGAAUUUUAAUUAGCUGGAAAAAAUUUAAUAAUUUAUUUAUAAAUCUUGAGAGAUUUUUUAUAAUUUUUAAUUUAUUAGAUGGAUUUAUAUCUUAAUGAAUAAGGCUUAGAUAUUAUGGUAGUAUUAGUAUAAGUAUUGUAGUUGUUAAAUUUAUAAAUUUAGAAAAAUUUUAAUUUUAUGAACUAGGCAAAAUUUUAAGCUUACCUGUUUAUCAAAAACAUGUCCUUAUGUUAAAUUAUUUAAGGUCUCCCCUGCUCAAUGAUUUAUUUAAAUAGCCGCAGUAUAAUGACUGUGCAAAGGUAGCAUAAUAACUUGUCCUUUCAUUAGGGACUGGUAUGAAAGGGUCGAUAAAGUUUAGUCUUUAUUAUUUUAAUUAUUUAUAAUUUAAGAUUUAAGUUAAAAUGCUUAAAUUUAAUCAGGGGACGAGAAGACCCUAUAGAAUUUUAUAAAGUUAAUUUGUAGUUUUAUUUUUUUAAAAAAUUAUCUUUAUUUAGUUGGGAUGACUGUUAAAUUAAUUUAACUUUAAUUUUAUUUAUCAAUAGUUUUUGAUUUAUCGAUUAAUUUUUAAUUAAUGAAGAACUAAUUACCUUAGGGAUAACAGCGUAAUAUUCUUGGAAAGACCAUAUUGAUAAGAAUGAUUGCGACCUCGAUGUUGAAUUAAGAUAAAUAUUUCAAGUAGAGUUGAAAAAUUUUAGUCUGUUCGACUAUUAAAAUCUUACAUGAUUUGAGUUCAGAUCGGCGUGAGCCAGAUCGGUUUCUAUCUUUGAUUAAUUGUCGAACCCCCGUACGAGAGGAAAGGGUUCGAGGAAAUUUUUUUUU
rnacentral:rRNA from 1 species